AAACUGUACUGAGGCCUACUGGGAGAACUACUUGGCAUAAGGCAGCAUGUUGGCUAUAAUAUUUAUUUAUACUGUCAUUUCUGAGUUGCCUUUUUUCCAGCUCAGAAAGUCCCCAAAGGAAAAUGACAACUGAAACAGUUUAGGAAACUUACGUUGACAUUAAGCUAAUACAAGUGCUUUCACCUUUUAAGAAGGGUAUUGAACAAACAGAAAAAGUGAAGAAAAUGGAACCAAAAUGAACAAGGUGACCGGACCUAAUUUGGAAACUUUCUUUGUGAAACAAUUAAAGAGAAUAAAACCUCAUCAGAUAAAGAAACCAACCAACUCACAGGUGAUAGUCUAGCUGUGAACGCAUUUUCAGGGUAGGAGAGCAAGAGAACCUGUGGAAUUUGACUAUCAGAACCAAUGGAAGUAUCAUCUCUCAUCACCAUCAUCUUAUCUGGGGAAGUGGACUUGUCCAUGAAAGCUCACAUUAAAAUAUAGCACUUAGCCUUUAAGGUGCAACAGCAUUUCUGUCUUCUUUAUUUUUCUUUUGUUUUUGCCUGAUAUCUUAUCACCAUGGAUACAAUAAGUUACUUUCUCCUUACAGCUCUGCAGAUGCCCUGGUGCUGGGUCAGGAAGCACAACCCCGCAGAGAAGUGACAUAAAAGGAUCUAAUGAAAAAGAAUUUUGUACCUUUAUUUCAGUAUAAAAGAACUGAGGUGCAGCUCAACAAAAUGCCACUUGUUUUGCUGGAGACCUAAAGCAGAGAGAGAGCUGCUUCUUCAUUCAGGUCCACACAUGUGUGCUCACAGCCACAGGGAACAUUUGCUUCUGGGCUAAAUACUGUAAGAGCAUAAUUAAGAAAUGACAUAAUUGCUGUUGGUUGGAAACUUAAGCUCUGUAUAUUUUGCAAAUGGUGUAUAUCCUAAUCUGUUCU
rnacentral:lncRNA from 1 species